rnacentral:rRNA from 1 species
UACGUAGGGUGCGAGCGUUGUCCGGAAUUACUGGGCGUAAAGAGCUCGUAGGUGGUUUGUCGCGUUGUCCGUGAAAACUCACAACUCAAUUGUGGGCGUGCGGGCGAUACGGGCAGACUGGAGUACUGCAGGGGAGACUGGAAUUCCUGGUGUAGCGGUGGAAUGCGCAGAUAUCAGGAGGAACACCGGUGGCGAAGGCGGGUCUCUGGGCAGUAACUGACGCUGAGGAGCGAAAGCGUAGGGAGCAAACAGG